rnacentral:rRNA from 1 species
UGUUUAACCUCGAGGCGGCUCAACACAGCAAGUCGAGCGGCAGAACAGAGGAACUUGUUCUUGGGUGGCGAGCGGCGGACGGGUGAGUAAUGCCUGGGAAAUUGCCCGGUAGAGGGGGAUAACCAUUGGAAACGAUGGCUAAUACCGCAUAACCUCGCAAGAGCAAAGCAGGGGACCUUCGGGCCUUGCGCUACCGGAUAUGCCCAGGUGGGAUUAGCUAGUUGGUGAGGUAAGGGCUCACCAAGGCGACGAUCCCUAGCUGGUCUGAGAGGAUGAUCAGCCACACUGGAACUGAGACACGGUCCAGACUCCUACGGGAGGCAGCAGUGGGGAAUAUUGCACAAUGGGCGCAAGCCUGAUGCAGCCAUGCCGCGUGUAUGAAGAAGGCCUUCGGGUUGUAAAGUACUUUCAGUAGGGAGGAAGGUGGUUAAGUUAAUACCUUAAUCAUUUGACGUUACCUACAGAAGAAGCACCGGCUAACUCCGUGCCAGCAGCCGCGGAAAUUAA